rnacentral:lncRNA from 1 species
CAAGAAUAACACAAUUUAGGAAAACUCUUCAGGGUGUUUUUGUUUUUGUUUUGUUUUGUUUUGUUUUUACAUCACUUUCUUGCAGGCUGGAAAUUUGCAAACAUGACCCUUUCUGGAAGUAGAACAGAUUUUUAUCUAAGGACUGAAAUGGUCAGCAUUUUUUUUUUAAUUCUCUGAUUUUUCCUUCACAGGAAAUGAUGGAAAGUCAAACUGUUCAGUAUUUCCCACCAAAUUUCAACCACUGGAGAACUAAGGCCUCUUACUUCAAGAUGAUUCAGUUCAGAGAGGAGAGAGGCUUAUUACAGUGCCAUGAAUAUUGGAAACCUUUCACCAGAAAAGGAAAGGAAUUGUUGGAAGCAUGGCUCACCAAAACCAUCCAUGGUACAGCUCCAGCAGCAAACAGAACUUUAGGAUGGUACAAGUCUCCAAGCCAUGAGAUAUUUCCCCCUCAAAUUGCUUCAUGGAUGGAAGCGUGAGGAGGACCAAUCAUUUUGGAACAAUUUUCACCCUGUUGCCCACUGCAGAAUGAAAAAGGCAUGAGAUUUUUAAAAAACCCGAUUCACUCAUUUCCCGAGGUUUAUUAAACUACCUGAAAUAAUCAAGAUAUUUGCAAUCUGUUCAUUUUAAGUGUUUUAAUCAAAUACAAUCUAGUCUUUUAAUUUAAUGAGAGAGAGAGAGAGAGAGAGAGAGAGAGAGAGAGAGAGAGAGAGAGAGAGCUGGCCCCACCAAAGACUCACUUUUAAUCUAUUUGGGGGCCUUCAUGAGUUUCCAUAGCACUUUACAAAAAGAUCUUUAUUGAGGAAAAGAUUGGACAAACUUUCCCUAUAUGCGUGGCCCUAGUCAUUAAUUGCCCCUAUCUUCUUUACUGAAGCCUUAUUCCUAUGUAAAUACCCUUGCAUAAUGUUACAGGCUAUUGUUAGGCCAGCGCCAGUCAGUGGCCACUUAUAUGCAUUUUUAUUUCAAUCGGCCCGCACAGAGAAAGAAAAGAUGUCUGGACUUAAGCUGUUUACCAACUGGGCCAAAGCUACAGAGCAGCCAAACUGAAGAAAGCGCCCAAGCGACUGCAGGAACACGCUUUGAAAAUGCGAGCGGCCAUUUUCAGUUGCGUUAUUAACCCACCCUGAAACUCUUCUAAUCUGUGCCUUCUUUAAAGAACAAAUGUGCUGAAUCAAACAUGAAUGAACCAGAACUAUUAAGAGAGAAAUCCUCUAAAGGACUAUUGAGCCCAACAUAGGUUUGUAAUCAUUUUGUGUCAGUUGCCUGCUACCAACAUUAUCCGUAAUGACAAUGCUUGUCCGUUGUUGUAGAUCGUCUUGUAAUUAAACAAUAGUGCCAAUACAGUUUUUAAAAAAAGAAAAGAAAAGAACAACAAACCAGAGCGUGCGGGAGACGAAAUGCGGAAGAAUUUAGCCAGCUCUGACACUGGGACUCUAUGCUGUUAUGGCCCCUGAAAUAAAAAAAAUCUAUCACUGCUAGUUGGUAGAAUA